rnacentral:rRNA from 1 species
GGCGUGUGUGCCGUGUCGUGUUUGUCAUCCUUCCAGAGAGCUGCGUCUACCAUUCACUUGGCCGGACGUACGCGAUCUGGAUCGAUUACUUUGAAAAAAUUAGAGUGUUUAAAGCAGGCUUACGCUGUGAAUACAUUAGCAUGGAAUAAUAAUUUAGGACUUCGGUUCUAUUUUGUUGGUUUCUAGGACUGAAGUAAUGAUUGAUAGGGACAGUUGGGGGUGCUAGUAUUCCGCGGCCAGAGGUGAAAUUCUUGGAUUCGCGGAAGACUAACUACUGCGAAAGCAUUCACCAAGGAUGUCUUCUUUAAUCAAGAACGAAAGUUGGGGGAUCGAAGACGAUCAGAUACCGUCGUAGUCUCAACCAUAAACUAUACCGACUAAGGAUCAGUGAACGUUGAUUUACGACUUCAUUGGCACUUUGUGAGAAAUCAAAGUCUUUGGGUUCCGGGGGGAGUAUGGUCGCAAGGCUGAAACUUAAAGGAAUUGACGGAAGGGCACCACCAGGAGUGGAGCCUGCGGCUUAAUUUGACUCAACACGGGGAAACUUACCAGGUCCAGACAUAGUUAGGAUUGACAGAUUGAGAGCUCUUUCUUGAUUCUAUGGGUGGUGGUGCAUGGGCCGUUCUUAGUUGGUGGAGUGAUUUGUCUGGUUAAUUCCGUUAACGAACGAGACCUUAACCUGCUAACUAGUUACCUCUAUGUAAAUAGGGGGUCUAACUUCUUAGAGGGACUUUGUG